rnacentral:lncRNA from 1 species
UAUAGGAAGAUGUGGUAUGAAUACCAAUGAGACAACUCUCCAUCCAAGUCACAAUUUAUAAAAGUAAACCAUUAUAGGUCAAGGUACGGUCUUCAACACGGAGCAUUGGCUCACACCGAACAGCAAGCUAUAAAGGGCCCCAAAAAAUUACUAGUGAAAAACCAUUCAAACGAGAAAACCAACGGUCUAAUCUAUAUAAAAAAAAACGAGAAACGAGAAACACUUAUGAACCACAUCAACAAACGACAACAACUGAACAUCAGAUUCCUGACUAAGGACAGGUGCA